CCGGGGGCGCCCGGGGCCGCCGCCCGCCUGCUGCCUCCGCCGCCGGCAGCCUCCUCCGUUCUUCUCGCAACUACCUGUCUGAGCCGCGGGCCGGGCAGGGCCUGGGGGAAGGCCCGCCUCGCCGGGAGGGUCUCCCCAUCCGCGCCCCAGGGGCGCCCCGGGGGAGCGAGGGCCCGGUGCCCCCGCGUCCUCCCUCCCUGCCCUCUUCUCGCGUCUCCUUUGUGGCUCUACUCUUCGACACGACGCUGCUAGGCUGUUCCCCCUCCCCCGGGGAGUUUGCGGUGUGGACGCCCGGCGAGCACAGGAUGGAUUUGCAUUUGGCUGCAUAGCACGUUCCAACCACCAGUGAGUCACACAAACAGCUUGCACGUGGUUUGUAAAGGACAGCACUGAUGGUCCCCAGGCUUGGAAUGGACACUUCUGCAGACUUCAUCACACUCACCAUCAUUGCUCAAGAUCCCUUCCUUGCAAAGAUAUCAGAGUAGCUUUAAAAAGGACCACCGCUUAUGUGGAAAAUGAGGACCAUGUGUUUGUUGGAGUUUGAAAUGAGUCAUCAUUAUCUAUCAACAUUGAAAAUUAUGGUCAGUCUCAACAUGUGUGGAACACACACACAGAACGUAUUGAAGAUUCUUAUUAAAGAUUUCCGAAGGGUGGACACCAGGAGACAAAGCAAAAUGGACAACUGCCUCAUCGUGGUAUUUAAGUGAAGGCAGAACAUGGACAUACAGGUGCAUCUCCCAACAUUGCUUUCACUCUUCAUGCACAUCAGACCACCUUUCUCGUGUCAUCUGGCUGGUCAUCCCCCUGCCCAGGCCUUUUGCCAGCUGUUGAUUUGACCAGGAAAUAGUCCUUCUGCACGUGACUGUCCCCUCUCCUCCUUGAAGGUGCGGUUCAUGUUUCAUUCCCCCUGGAAGUAUUUUCUGUUCUUCUUACCUGCAGCUGAUAUCUCAGUGCUCACCCGUUCCGCUGAAGGUUUGGUCCAGUGAUCUGUUUUUCUGGGGCAAGAGAUAGAUGUCAAGGCUCGAUCUCCCAGCCUAGCCCUGAGUCCAGAGCAGCGUCACCACUGAAUCGACAAGUGCGCCAAGAAAUGGGCUGGAAGCUGAGGGAAAUGCUGUACUUUUCUCUUUCCCAUCUGCAGAUGGUUUUCCUGGGUUGGGAAACGACUUAGGAAACACAGAGCCUUUAGCCACUAAGUCUGGGGGAGACCCGUAGAACCCAGGGCAGCCAGCACUGGGUGUAACUGUAGCUGCUGUGACUGGAUAUCCUAGUGGUCUACACCGGCUAGAGCCAGACCAGUUCGCAAAGACAAUCUUUUCUGACAUUUUUAGGCAGCAUGAUAAAUCCUCACUAAACAGACCCUUUCAGUAAUUAUGGAGCAGACAUGGGCUCUUCCUUGCUUCUCCCUCUGCAUGCGACAAGGAGGACGCCAGGCCCAGCCCCUCAGGCCGCCGUGGGCACGUGGGCGCAGGACCGGCCUAAGUCUCCACUGCAGACCAAGGGGCGCCACCGACAGACACACGUGCAUGGAAACGAAACCCAGAGCGUUUCCGGGCGCAGGGCCUGCGGGCUCCGGCU